UACAGAGGGGGCGAGCGUUGUUCGGAAUUACUGGGCGUAAAGGGCGCGUAGGCGGCCUGCUAAGUCAUACGUGAAAUCCCUCGGCUCAACCGGGGAACUGCGUGUGAUACUGGCGGGCUUGAAUCCGGGAGAGGAAUGCGGAAUUCCAGGUGUAGCGGUGAAAUGCGUAGAUAUCUGGAGGAACACCGGUGGCGAAGGCGGCAUUCUGGACCGGCAUUGACGCUGAGGCGCGAAAGCCAGGGGAGCAAACAGG
rnacentral:rRNA from 1 species